CAGUAGGUGCAUCCAGGAGACCUUCGCUGUCCCCUCCCUCCGUCCCUUCUCCUCAUCCUUUCGCUUGAGAUAAAAACCCUAGAAAUCGAAUCCAAGCUCCACUGCGUCGUUACUCUGUUACGAGGAAUGAACACACAUACCUUAGCUAGGCGACCUAUGAGGAGGUACGCAAGUCGAAGGAAAGCAGUACUGAAUAUGGACCUUAAUGCACCUUCUGCAGAGACUCAGACGAACAGGGGAACUUCUAAUCACGUACAUUCACAGGCAUCUCAUGGUGCUUCUGCUUCUACAAACUCUAGACAAGGGUCCCGGAUGCCUGCUAAUGAUGGUUCUCGCAGUUUCCCCAUUGAUGUUGAGGCAAUUGACGAUGAUGUCCUGAUCAUAUCCUCUUCAAGUGGGUUUCCUCAGGUUUGCUUGUAGUUUUAUUUUUAUUCUAAUUUUUUUUUAAAAUGAGAUAUAAGGUGUUUGGACUUGCACUCAUUGGCUUGUGAAAUUCUGGCACUCUUCACUUUCCGUUGUGAUUGGAUCAUAGGCAUGUCUGAAAACUGUCACAUUUUGUUAAAAUGAAUUUGAAAGUUGAGGCUUUUGUAGUUUCUUUAGAUUUGUAGUUGAUGAGAGUUGGUAACAAAUCCUCAUACCCAAGCAGCCCUUUCCUCCCUUAUGUGUAAAUGAAGAUGUUUUACCGGUAUGUUGUAAAGAUCAAUUUUUUUUUAGCUUGCGAUCAUGCAGUUUCAUUCUUCUUGCUAGUAAAUUAUCUGGAAAUCUAAGCUUUUAUGUUCUUGUUAAUUGAUAUUCUAACCAUGUUUUUAAAUGGUUUAGACAAGGCAGUCUAGGAGGAGUCCUGUGAUAGUAGUCCUUGAUGAUGACCUUGAGGAUCGUUCAACAAAACCAGUUACAUCAUUACUCAUGCUAUUUGGAUAGGGAGAAAAGUAAUUUUCACAAGUCUCCUGUCUUGGUGUCGCUGCAGAGGAUUCAGUUUCGACCUUCUCUCUUAAUAGCCACGAAAAACGUGUAAGGAUUCCACCAAACACUGUGAUUAUCGAUUGUGACGUUUGUUCAGCAGAUGGAGACAAUCCCAAGAGAAAGAGAGUGGUUAGUUCUCGUGUAGAGCCCGAAAAGGUGGUACCAAACAAAGUGACCUGCACCUGUCCUGUUUGCUUGGACACAAUGACUGAGCCAUGCUCAACAAUUUGUGGCCAUGUUUUCUGUCAAAGAUGCAUCAAAGCUUCUAUUCAAGCGCAAAAGAAAUGCCCCACAUGUAGGAGGAAACUUACCAUUAACAAAUUCCAUAGGGUUUACCUUCCAACCACCACCAACUAGAUUUACUGUGUUGGAUUUGGUGAUUUUCUCCUUUACAAUUCUUGUGUUGGAGUUCAAAAAUGACCAUUUUUUAUUCAACAUUUUGUAUAGUUCUCUAAUUAUAUUUAUGUGUAUUAGUUUUUCUAUUUAGUCUGACAUGAAUUAUUGCAAGUAAUAUAUUUACCUAGCUUUGGGCUUC